rnacentral:rRNA from 1 species
AUUGAACGCUGGCGGAAUGCUUUACACAUGCAAGUCGAACGGCAGCACGGACUUCGGUCUGGUGGCGAGUGGCGAACGGGUGAGUAAUGUAUCGGAACGUGCCCAGUCGUGGGGGAUAACGUAGUGAGAAUUACGCUAAUACCGCAUACGAUCGAUGGAUGAAAGCGGGGGAUCGCAAGACCUCGCGCGAUGGGAGCGGCCGAUAUCAGAUUAGGGAGUUGGGGGGGUAAAGGCCCACCAAGCCAACGAUCUGUAGCUGGUCUGAGAGGACGACCAGCCACACUGGAACUGAGACACGGUCCAGACUCCUACGGGAGGCAGCAGUGGGGAAUUUUGGACAAUGGGCGAAAGCCUGAUCCAGCCAUUCCGCGUGCAGGAUGAAGGCCCUCGGGUUGUAAACUGCUUUUGUACGGAACGAAAAGGUUUCUACUAAUACUAGGAGCUCAUGACGGUACUGUAAGAAUAAGCACCGGCUAACUACGUGCCAGCCGCCGCGGUAA